rnacentral:misc_RNA from 1 species
CCGUGAAUCAUCUUGGAUUUUUACAAGAACAGAUGCAGAUCCCACUCAUUAGAAAAAAUCUUUUGAAUUAAAAAGAAACCCCAUUAAUGAGCACGAAUCUUCCUGAACCUAAAUCAAUUACACUCUGCUUUACGGAGACAGAUACACUAUGUUUACUUCUCAUCCGCAGAUCUUAAUAUCACCCAUCACGUCCAAAAAAAC